rnacentral:misc_RNA from 1 species
AACGAAUCUCGGACCAUAGGAAAGGACUCUCAAUGAAAGCCCCUUACCAAACACCCGUUCAACGAGGAACAAUCGGAAGGCGUAACAUCUCUCUCCUUCUUCUGUCGCAAACAUGCUCCGCAAGGAGCCGUGAAAUUCGUCCAAUAACGAAUUGAUGUGUUGUUUGUGAUUUAGACAAUUAACUAUUUAUUGUGUGUUAUUUAUUGAGUGAUUGUUCCCUCUUUGGACAACCAUCAUCAAAACGGAAUAGCAGCCAAUCAGAUGCGGCUGUUCUGUUUUGUGAUACUUACAGUAAAUAAAUUAUUGUAUUGUAUCUGC